rnacentral:tRNA from 1 species
GUCUCCGUGGCGCAACGGAUAGUGCGUCGGACUUCUAAUUCGGAGGCUGUGGGUUCGAAUCCCACCGGAGAUG